UACGGGGGGGGCAAGCGUUGUUCGGAAUUACUGGGCGUAAAGGGCUCGUAGGUGGCCAACUAAGUCAGACGUGAAAUCCCUCGGCUUAACCGGGGAACUGCGUCUGAUACUGGAUGGCUUGAGUUCGGGAGAGGGAUGCGGAAUUCCAGGUGUAGCGGUGAAAUGCGUAGAUAUCCGGAAGAACACCAAAGGCGAAGGCAGUGUCCUGGCUGGUACCUGACGCUCAGGUGCGAAAGCUAGGGGAGCGAACGGG
rnacentral:rRNA from 1 species